rnacentral:lncRNA from 1 species
UUGUUAGAAUUCUGUAAUAUGACCUGGAUAUCUUGGGUAACCCUAUAAGGCAUGACUCAUAGUUUCAACGAGCUACACAAGCCCCUCUGCCACAAGAAGGUAGUGAUCCAGAAGCAGACACUGGCUGGGGGUUCUUGCUGAGCCUGCUGCUGCAAGUCUGCCACUAUGAGUCUGCCACCACUUCUGGAGCACACUGGCUGGAGGUUCUUGCGAGUCACUUUCUCCACGGAGGUAGUCUAGACCAAGGGUGUCCAAAUACAAUCCAUGAAGAAAAUAUUAACUGGCAAGGACAACAUUAAGUCUUCAGUGAGCUUCUGGCUCCUACCCACCUCUGCAUUUCUCUUUUCUGCUUAUGCCUAGUGGAUCCUAUUCCCUGUGCUGCUGCAUGGGGCCAUAGCAAGCUGACCUGAAAAGUUACUACAAAAAAUAAAAUUAAAAAUCCCCAAUUAAACA